GGAGCUGUGGCUCAGUGGUAGAGUGCUCGCCUAGCAAGCACGAGGCACUGGGUUCGAUCCUCAGCACCA
rfam:Ictidomys tridecemlineatus contig091552, whole genome shotgun sequence.